AUAUAUAUAUAUAUAUAUAUAUAUAUAUAUAUAGAAAACGGGGAGGAGAAGGAGCCAAUUUGAUAUAUUUCAUGCAAAAUUUGGUGGCUGAAAUUUUUAUCAGACACACGCAGGAGACAAAAAAAGGGGCAGCCAAUAUCUUAUAUGCACGCACGAAAAUCGAAGCAGAUAGAAUCCCUUUUUUUGUUCAAAUUUGAUGGCUACUUAAUUAUUUUUGGAGAGAGAUUUAUACGUACAUGCAUAGAGGAAUUGGGGGAGCCAAUUAUAUAGUAUAUAUUUUGCACAAAAUUGAGGCAGCCAACACUUUCUGCAAAAAGAGGUGAUUGACACAGACGGAUCCUUUGGAGAGAGAAAUAGGAGGCAGUUUUGGAAGAAUUAAUUGGAGAAAAACACGUUGCAGGUUCAAUUUUACAAAUUAUUCACGUUUCGUCAAUUAAUCUGGUGAUGUCUUCUAUAAAUUCUUGUUUUUCUCUCAUUAAUAUGCGUAGUUAAAUUAAAUUUUAGGACGAACAAUGUAACUGAUUUGGGACCUUUAUUUCUUUUAUUUGAAAUUAUUAUUCUUUUAUAUUUUAUGUGUGGAUUUUAAUUAUAUUUUUAAUACUUUGAAUUUUUUCGGCUAAUUAUUCAAUGAUUCUGUGAACAAUAAUUACGUAGAGAUACGGAUUCUUAUUUAGACCACAUAUUAAAAUUCGAUAAAUUAAUAUAACGUGUAGAGAUACCUAUAUUAAUU
rnacentral:lncRNA from 1 species